rnacentral:rRNA from 1 species
AGAGUUUGAUCCUGGCUCAGGUUGAACGCUGGCGGUAUGCUUAACACAUGCAAGUCGAACGGAAACGAUACUAGCUUGCUAGUAGGCGUCGAGUGGCGGACGGGUGAGUAACGCGUAGGAAUCUGCCUGAUAGUGGGGGAUAGCCCGGAGAAAUUCGGAUUAAUACCGCAUAAUCUAUUCGUAGUAAAGUGGGGGACUUUCGAGCCUCACGCUAUCAGAUGAGCCUGCGUAAGAUUAGCUAGUUGGUAGGGUAAAAGCCUACCAAGGCGACGAUCUUUAGCUGGUCUGAGAGGAUGAUCAGCCACAUCGGGACUGAGACACGGCCCGAACUCCUACGGGAGGCAGCAGUGGGGAAUAUUGGACAAUGGGGGCAACCCUGAUCCAGCAAUACCGCGUGUGUGAAGAAGGCCUGAGGGUUGUAAAGCACUUUCAAUUGUGAAGAAAAGUUAGCGGUUAAUAACCGUUAGCCUUGACGUUAACUUUAGAAGAAGCACCGGCUAACUCCGUGCCAGCAGCCGCGGUAAUACGGAGGGUGCAAGCGUUAAUCGGAAUUACUGGGCGUAAAGCGUGCGUAGGCGGUUUAUUAAGUCAGAUGUGAAAGCCCCGGGCUUAACCUGGGAACUGCAUUUGAAACUGGUAAACUAGAGUAUGGUAGAGGAAAGUGGAAUUUCUGGUGUAGCGGUGAAAUGCGUAGAUAUCAGAAGGAACAUCAAUGGCGAAGGCAGAUUUCUGGACCAAUACUGACGCUGAGGUACGAAAGCGUGGGUAGCAAACAGGAUUAGAUACCCUGGUAGUCCACGCCGUAAACGAUGAUAACUAGCCGUUGGGGGGAUUUACCCUUUAGUGGCGAAGCUAACGCGUUAAGUUAUCCGCCUGGGGAGUACGGCCGCAAGGUUAAAACUCAAAGGAAUUGAUGGGGACCCGCACAAGCGGUGGAGCAUGUGGUUUAAUUCGAUGCAACGCGAAGAACCUUACCUGGUCUUGACAUCCUGCGAACUUUCUAGAAAUAGAUUGGUGCCUUCGGGAACGCAGUGACAGGUGCUGCAUGGCUGUCGUCAGCUCGUGUCGUGAGAUGUUGGGUUAAGUCCCGUAACGAGCGCAACCCCUAUCCUUAUUUGCCAGCACAUCAUGGUGGGAACUAUAAGGAGACUGCCGGUGAUAAACCGGAGGAAGGCGGGGACGACGUCAAGUCAUCAUGGCCCUUACGACCAGGGCUACACACGUGCUACAAUGGGAAGGACAAAGAGCCGCGAAGCCGCGAGGUGUAGCUAAUCUCAUAAACCUUUUCGUAGUCCGGAUUGGAGUCUGCAACUCGACUCCAUGAAGUCGGAAUCGCUAGUAAUCGUAGAUCAGAAUGCUACGGUGAAUACGUUCCCGGGUCUUGUACACACCGCCCGUCAUACCAUGGGAGUGGGUUGCACCAGAAGUGGCUAGUCUAACUUAGUGAGGACGGUCACCACGGUGUGAUUCAUGACUGGGGUAAAGUCGUAACAAGGUA